CGAGGGGUACAUAGAAAAGCUUGCUUUUUUGAUGACGACCGGCGCACGGGUGCGUAACGCGUAUACAAUCUGCCUUAUACUGGGGUAUAGCCUUUAGAAAUGAAGAUUAAUUCCCCAUAGUCUCUAGCUAUGGCAUCAUAGCUAGAGUAAAGGUUACGGUAUAAGAUGAGUAUGCGUUCUAUUAGUUUGUUGGUGAGGUAACGGCUCACCAAGACUACGAUAGAUAGGGGCCCUGAAAGGGGGAUCCCCCACACUGGUACUGAGACACGGACCAGACUCCUACGGGAGGCAGCAGUGAGGAAUAUUGGACAAUGGAGGCAACUCUGAUCCAGCCAUGCCGCGUGCAGGAAGACUGCCCUAUGGGUUGUAAACUGCUUUUAUAUAGGAAGAAACCUUGGUACGUGUACCAAGCUGACGGUACUAUAAGAAUAAGGAUCGGCUAACUCCGUGCCAGCAGCCGCGGUAAUACGGAGGAUCCAAGCGUUAUCCGGAAUCAUUGGGUUUAAAGGGUCCGUAGGUGGAUAAUUAAGUCAGAGGUGAAAUCUUGCAGCUCAACUGUAAAAUUGCCUUUGAUACUGGUUAUCUUGAGUUAUUAUGAAGUAGUUAGAAUAUGUAGUGUAGCGGUGAAAUGCAUAGAUAUUACAUAGAAUACCAAUUGCGAAGGCAGAUUACUAAUAAUCAACUGACACUGAUGGACGAAAGCGUGGGUAGCGAACAGGAUUAGAUACCCUGGUAGUCCACGCCGUAAACGAUGGUUACUAGCUGUUUGGACCUUGUGUCUGAGUGGCUAAGCGAAAGUGAUAAGUAACCCACCUGGGGGAGUACGUUCGCAAGAAUGAAACUCAAAGGAAUUGACGGGGGCCCGCACAAGCGGUGGAAUAUGUGGGUUUAAUUCGAUGAUACGCGAGGAACCUUACCAGGGCUUAAAUGUAAGUUGCAUUAGUUAGAGAUAGCUAUUUCUUCGGACCACUUACAAGGUGCUGCAUGGUUGUCAUCAGCUCGUGCC
rnacentral:rRNA from 1 species